AUUGAACGCUGGCGGCGUGCCUAACACAUGCAAGUCGAGCGGCAGCGCGGGAGCAAUCCUGGCGGCGAGCGGCGGACGGGUGAGUAACGCUUGGGAAUCUGCCUGUUAGUGGGGGACAACCCGGGGAAACGUCGGGCUAAUACCGCAUACGCACUACGGUGGAAAGCCGGGGACCGCAAGGCCUGGCGCUAACAGAUGAGCCCAAGUCGGAUUAGCUAGUUGGUAGGGUAACGGCCUACCAAGGCGACGAUCCGUAACUGGUCUGAGAGGACGACCAGUCACACCGGAACUGAGACACGGUCCGGACUCCUACGGGAGGCAGCAGUGGGGAAUAUUGGACAAUGGGGGAAACCCUGAUCCAGCGACGCCGCGUGGGUGAAGAAGGCCUGCGGGUUGUAAAGCCCUUUUCAGUGGGGGAAGAAAAGCCUCGACCUAACACGUCGGGGUCUUGACGUAACCCCAUAGAAGAAGCACCGGCUAACUCUGUGACAGCCGCCGCGGU
rnacentral:rRNA from 1 species